CCUACGGGGGGCAGCGGUGGGGAAUAUUGGGCAAUGGGCGCAAGCCUGACCCAGCAACGCCGCGUGAAGGAAGAAGGCUUUCAGGUUGUAAACUUCUUUUCUGAGGGACGAAGAAAGUGACGGUACCUCAGGAAUAAGCCACGGCUAACUACGUGCCAGCAGCCGCGGUAAUACGUAGGUGGCAAGCGUUAUCCGGAUUUAUUGGGUUUAAAGGGUGCGCAGGCGGCGUGUCAAGUCAGCGGUAAAAUGUCGGGGCUCAACCCCGGCCGGCCGUUGAAACUGGCGUGCUCGAGUUGGAGAGAAGG
rnacentral:rRNA from 1 species